UCUCUGGUAGUUUAUCGGUUAGUACACGGGCCUGUCAGGUUUCUACGUAAAUUGAUUCCCGCUCCGCGCGAAAGCUGGGUUCGACUCCCAGCCAGAGAG
rnacentral:tRNA from 1 species